rnacentral:rRNA from 1 species
CCUACGGGUGGCAGCAGUGGGGAAUAUUGGGCAAUGGGCGCAAGCCUGACCCAGCAACGCCGCGUGAAGGAAGGAGGCUUUCGGGUUUUUAACUUCUUUUCUCAGGGACGAAGAAAGUGACGGUACCUGCGGAAUAAGCCACGGCUAACUACGUGCCAGCAGCCGCGGUAAUACGUAGGUGGCAAGCGUGAUCCGGAUGUAUUGGGUGUAAAGGGCGUGUAGGCGGGAGCGGAAGUCAGCUGUGAAAACUCAGGGCUCAACCCUGGGCCUGCAUUUGAAACUGUGUUUCUUGAGUUCUGGAGAGGCAAUCGGAAUUCCGGGGGUAGCGGUGAAAUGCGUAGAUAUACGGAGGAAAACCAGUGGCGAAGGCGGAUUGCUGGCCAGUAACUGAGGCGGAGGAGCGAAAGCGUGGGGAGCAAACAGGAUUAGAUACCCCGGUAGUC